GAUGAAGAACGUAGCGAAAUGCGAUAAGUAAUGUGAAUUGCAGAAUUCAGUGAAUCAUCGAAUAUUUGAACGCACAUUGCGCCCGUUAGCAUUCUAGCGGGCAUGCCUGUCCGAGCGUCAUUUCAACCCUCAGGGUCCCCGUUCCGGCGGGGAACCUGGUGUUGGGGAUCGGCCCGCCCCGUGCGGCGCCGUCCCCCAAAUUCAGUGGCGGUCUCGCUGCAGCCUCCCCUGCGUAGUAGUUACAACCUCGCAUCGGAGCUCAGCGCGGCCACGCCGUAAAACCCCCGACUUUCUGAACGUUGACCUCGGAUCAGGUAGGAAUACCCGCUGAACUUAAGCAUAUCAAUAAGCGGAGGA
rnacentral:misc_RNA from 1 species